rnacentral:tRNA from 1 species
GCGCGCCAUAGUUUAUAUAAAAACAUUGACCUGCAGAAUCAAGAAAGGAGCUAAUCCUGGUGUGU